rnacentral:lncRNA from 1 species
GCUGCUCAGCCCUGGGGGCCCCUUUCCCCAACUCAGGCGGCCCAUAGACAGAGUGGGAAAAGUGGCAGCCCGCCGCGCUGCUCAGCCCCUGGGGGACACAACCUGACUCAGGUUGCAGACCGCCAGAGUGGGUCAAAGUGGCAGCCCGCCGCGCUGCUCAGCCCUGGGGGCCCCACCCCCAGUCAGGCGGCCCACCCCCAGAGUGGGAAAAAGUGGCAGCCCGCCGCGCUGCUCAGCCCUGGGGGCCAUCCCCACCCACUCAGUCGGCGGACCACCAGAGUGGGUCAAAGUAGCAGCCCGCCGCGCUGCUCAGCCCUGGGGGCCCUUUCCCCACCCAUGCGGCCGACCGCCAGAGUGGGUCAAAGUGGCAGUCCGCCACGCUGCUCAUCCCUGGGGGCCCUUUCCCCACCCAAGCGGCCGACCGCCAGAGUGGGUCAAAGUGGCAGCCCUCCGAGGUGCUGAGCAUUGGCGGGCCCGACC